rfam:Triticum aestivum genome assembly, contig: Triticum_aestivum_CS42_TGACv1_scaffold_221344_3B
UCCGCCAUGGUGAAAUUGGUAGACACACUGCUCUUAGGAAGCAGUGCUCAAGCAUAUCGGUUCGAAUCUGAGUGGAGGCA